GACGACGCGGGUUGGGAGAGACUGUGCACCUACAGGUGUCACUUCACAAAGGCCUCCAGGGACUUAUGAUCCGGCAGAGGAGACACCAGGAAAGAGAAGCAGAGUGGCCAGGGCAGUGCACUGCAGAUGCAUGGAUGAAAGCUCGCAGCAACACAGGCAUGGGGUGUCUAAUCAGGGAUGAGUGUGAGCAGCAGAAUGAGGAGCAUGCUUUCCUAGAGGAAGAGAGGAAGCUGCUGGAGAGAUGAAGGAUGCCUUGGACAGGAGGUGGUGUCUCUGGAACCGCCGAGCAGCAGCCUCAUUGCUCAGAAGAUGAAGACACUGACAAAGACCCAGACAGGAAAAAAGGAAGAAAAAGCAUCUUGAUUGUUCCAUUAGCAAAGCCACAGUCCCGGAGAGCAAGGGGAGGGGCACAGCAGGCAGCUACACCCAUGGGAUGCAUCUGCAGCUUGUGAGCAAUGCAUGAGAGUUGAAUCACACAACAGCAAUGCCUUCAGCUUCCGUGUGCUAUGGCUCACUCAGCACCAGCUCUGCAGGCUGCCUAAGCCAGAAGUCAGUCUCUGCCUUUAGACUUGCUCACUUCUUUUAGGAACGGAGAUAUCCUCUGAUCCCUUGUCCUACAACCUCAAUUUAAUGUCUUUGCAACAGCCAUCUGCCAAACUCAAGAAGACCCUGGAACUACCUAAUUGGAAAAGUUUCCCUCUUAUCCCUUGGAAAACUAUAGAAAAGCAGUGUCACACAAAUGUUUAAUUUCUGAUUUCUACAAUUUCAGAUACCAGAGUUUAUCUGUUACCAUGACAACUAAGAGCUUUAUAAAUGUUUUCUAGCCUCUGCUAUUUUCUGGAACUUAUCUACAUUUCAGUAUUUGCUUAAUAAUUUUGAGCUGACACUAGUAACAUAAUUGUGUCUGGAUUGUGUAUGUCUUGUGUGUGUUGGCAGGGGAUGGGUAUAACCUAUGUCAAUGUUUUUCAAUGUGAGCAAAUUUUAAUAAACUUUUAUAUUUAAUGUGAA
rnacentral:lncRNA from 1 species